AUUGAACGCUGGCGGCAUGCCUUACACAUGCAAGUCGAACGGCAGCACGGGUGCUUGCACCUGGUGGCGAGUGGCGAACGGGUGAGUAAUACAUCGGAACAUGUCCUGUAGUGGGGGAUAGCCCGGCGAAAGCCGGAUUAAUACCGCAUACGAUCCACGGAUGAAAGCGGGGGCCCUUCGGGCCUCGCGCUAUAGGGUUGGCCGAUGGCUGAUUAGCUAGUUGGUGGGGUAAAGGCCUACCAAGGCGACGAUCAGUAGCUGGUCUGAGAGGACGACCAGCCACACUGGGACUGAGACACGGCCCAGACUCCUACGGGAGGCAGCAGUGGGGAAUUUUGGACAAUGGGCGAAAGCCUGAUCCAGCAAUGCCGCGUGUGUGAAGAAGGACUUCGGGUUGUAAAGCACUUUUGUCCGGAAAGAAAUCCUUGACUCUAAUACAGUCGGGGGAUGACGGUACCGGAAGAAUAAGCACCGGCUAACUACGUG
rnacentral:rRNA from 1 species